AAACAAGACGUACACAUAUGGCUGAACCUUGGUUUAUGCUCUGCCUGGCAGACGCGGGCAACAAAAGUGAGUGCCUCAUGCGUACGGAGAGUUAUCGGUUGUUUUGAGGUGAGCUCCUCCAACCUUGAAAACUUUAUCAAUGGUGAUAUUUACAGAAAAAAAGGAUAGAAUAACAGGCUUUGGUAAAAGAUUUUUUAAGGCCCCCCCUAUGGCAAUCGAAGCAGCCCUGACAAGAAAAACGAGAUAGUGUGCGGUUGAUCGGUCAUGCAAUCUGUCAAAUAUUCAAAAAAUAAAGUUUGUUUACAUUUUGAACCGAACGAUAGCUCUCACGAUGUACAACGGCGAAUGAUUAAAAAAAGGCUACAUCGGUGAUGAAAAUGUUGUGUGUAAUGUGUAAAAUAGACAGCCUUUAAAUUAUAAAUGGUGGUAGAAUCGACUUCGCACGCCUGAAAGCCGUUUAGGGUAAGUAAAACAAAGCUAAUAUUUGUAAUAUUAAAUCAAUUAAAGCGGUAUUUUCUAUGCAGCUGUUGUGCAACCGUGUUGAGCCGGCGAUAGUUAGAAAGAGGGAAGAAAGAAUGCCCGCAAUCAAACUAAACGAUGUUUGAUCAUGGAAAACAAGUUAAAAAGCAUACAAAGCUCGCUCGCCGUUGGACGCUUGGACAAUUACAUUAACAAUCAUUCGGUGAUCAGUUUGCGAAACGUCUUGCCGCACGCCUGGUACAGGCCCUUCUUGUCCGCGUCGGUAUCGAUCGUGGACUGAUCGUUCGGCAGCGUCAGCAUCAUCACCUUCAUCUGCGGGUAGUUGUGGUACGGCACAGUUCCGGUCGUCAUCUCGAUCGCGGUAAUGCCGAACGACUAGAAGCCGUAUCCGUGGUCCCGCUCCGUCUCCUCCAGCGCCAUCCAGCACGACGUGCCGAUAAACGUGUGGUACACCUUCUGCCGCGACAUGUCUCCAUCGGUGGCGAGCCACGCGCUCAUCCGCUAUAUUUAAGGAGCCGUCGUCGCCGGGCAGUAUGAUGGCCACCUUGAUGUCCACGUAAUGAGCAAUGCGAAAUGUGCUCUCAAUUGGCAAGCGCACAGCAAGAAACGUUACCGACAGUCUUUGUCGCCGUGAAAAUGCUUCUAAUGCACGGGUGAGUUGCAUUAUAACUACAAGCAUACGUUUUUUUUCCUUUCUUUAGUUUCAGCUAAUGCCAGACGAACGAUCGAAUGACUGUUGCUUCGGAAGGGAGGUCGCAUUACAGAUACCGACUUGGACAUGAUCCAGUCGGUCGGUUGCAGUUGUUCCAUGGUGCUUCGGAUAAGGCAACAACGGAGAAGCGCUCCGGACGCUCCGGAGAAGCUGAUCGAGAUCGGCGAAGCGGUGUAGUGUUGUGAUAUAGUGAUUGUGUGUACAUUUAAGGUGUAAAGGGUGAUUAAUGCUAGUAACGUUGUGUAAUGUUAUGCAGAACAAAAUGCAGCAUAAAUGGCGAUGAGCCAGCAUUGUUUAAAGGUGCCGGAUGUUAUACGUUAGAGCCGUUCUUUGUGGUGUGAUGUGUUAACAUAUUAAACCAGUAUUAGGAUUAGGAUAUAAUUAGGAUUUAAACCAGUGCCGUUGAAUAAAAUAGUGUACAACAGGUUAGAAAACAUUCGGUGUAUUUUGUUUUGUUUUUUUGAAGCUCUUUCGAUUACCUAUUACGGAAGCAAAUAUGUUUCACUAAUGUGCAAAAGGUAAGGAAUCAGUGAUCGCGUUGGUAGGUAAUUGCUCGUUUACGGUGUUUCUCCAUUUGUAUUUAUUGUUUCUCGCCCGCUGUGUUUGCUUCCCCAUUCCUCAUAAUGGUGCGUACGUUUCGUUAACAAUGUGCAUUAGAUGGUGAUGUUACAUGAUAAGUAAAUGUUGAGCAUGUUGGCGGGUUAAAAAAAAUAUUUUACUUGUCCUGCUCCGUUGGUUGUCUGGUUGUCUGGUUGUCUGGCUGGCUGGCUGGCUGGUUGGAUGGCAGAAUGGCUCACUGGCUGGUUAGUGCAGACUAUGAUCGGAUGCGCAUUUCCCUACGCCGUAGUGCCGGGUGCAUCAUACGUCGGUGUUGGGUUGCUGUUACUGGGCCGAGCGGAUGCGCGUGCACACGUGGGAAUAAACGACACGCAACCGUGGUGAUAUCACAGAAACUAUAUAUUUUGUUCUAUUUCAUCACAAAAAAAUUCUUGCCAUUAAUUUUUCUUUUUAGGUAUUUUAUAUUGCAUCGGUACGAUUAUCAUGUUCAAAGGCUUUAUCGAGAAAUGCCAAUACAUAAAUGGGUUAGUCCGUUUAUAUCGGUUUCUCAAACCCCUGCAAGCAAUGGUCAAUCAUUUCAGUCUUAAACUUUUGACGAACGAAUGCCUGGUCGCUAGCUGUAGCUUCCCAUCGAUGUAGGCACCCGAUCUUCGAGAUUUUACUUCACCUGAUCUAGCCAUCGAACUCGCUGUGCUUCCUUGCUUCUAGUACCGAACUGAGAGCCGCUCGAACACCUAGCUGCUGGGGCACGAGGAUGCCUUCUUCACAACAUGCUCCAGCCAUCGCAAACAGCCAUGUCCGGUGCGGCAUACGGCUUCAGUAAGCUCGUGGAUGAUCAUUCGCAUCCACACCCCAUGCUCGAAUUCACCGCCAAAGAUGAUCCGGAGGAUGCGUCGGCCAUCGUGUUUCGCCGCUGUCCUUUGCAUGCUGUAAAGAAACAUACCUAUUCAUCGUCGGCCAAUGGUGCAGCACGAGCGCAACGUGAUACAUCGUGACAUCAUCCGGAAAACUUGCAGCUGGGGCACGGUGGUGAUCUGAAGAUAGCUGAUUUCGGUUGGUCCGUGUACGAGCCGACCUUGUUCCGGUACGACGCGGUGCGUUUCGCACGACUAUUUAUCGCCCGAGAUGGUACAUGGUCAGCCGCACACAAAAACUGUCGAUCUAUGGAAUUUGGGCGUGCUGGCGUACAAGCUGCUGUGCGGUAAGGCCCCGUUUUUGGCGACCACGUAUGAAGAAUCGUACCGUAAAAUUAUGAAGCUGCAGUUUAAGAUGCCGCCAGAUGUAACGAAGCCGGCGGUCCAUCUGAUCUCGCGACUGUUCGUUAAGGAUCUGGCCAGCCGUAUGCCGCUGACACAUGUUGCGACCAUCCCUGGAUUCUGCUGCAUGUGCACAAAAAGUAAAUAGGUACACUGGUGGACAUAAAAAUAGGAAAAAAAUUUUGGAUGUGGAAUAAAGGAUGUGCAAGUUCUACCGUGGCCUGCGUUGAGUCCUGACCUCAACCCGAUUGAAAAUCUGUGGUCAACUCGCAAGCAUCAGCUAAAGAACCAGCCUGCACGUUCAGCCGAUGAUCUAUGGACACGCUGCAAGGUUAUGUGGAAACGCAUACCCAGAAGCGAAUGCCGUAAGCUCAUCGGCGAUAUGGCCAAACGCUGUCAGGAAGUGAUAGCGAUUAACGGUCACCACAUUGACCGUUAGAAUGUGUUUUCGCUCUGUGGAACACCGCAACACCUCCUCCCAACAACCACUUAAACAGUCCUUUUCAGGGAUACCAAAUAUUUCUGACAAGAACUAUGUCUUUCGGUCACAGAAAAAAGUUCCUAUUUUUAUGUCCACCAG